rnacentral:lncRNA from 1 species
UGCACCACCAGGCUAAGUCCCCAGACCUGAACUUUAGAACCAGGGUUAGGCGAGUGCGACGUCCCUGUGGUGGCUCUGCCCCCCGCCAGCGUACCAGGGCGCAGGUGGACUCACACCUGCGGGCAGGUACGGCCUGUUCACCGAGCAAAUGGAAUGGACGGCAGCGGGGCUAAAAACCUCGAGUUCGCAGUUGGAGAUGAAAGGCUGCAGAAAUGUUUAUUGAGUACAGUGCCGGGUUUAUAAAUAAAACUUAUUUACAAUUUCCAUAGAGUUGGUCCCCCAUCAGAGAGGUGGUUAAUCUCCAAACAGUUCAUCUCAGAAGAUUCACAGCAACGUUCGAGUGUAGAACAACUUCAAGGGAUCAAUAAGAGCUAAGAGUAACCGCCAGCUGAAGGAUAUAGUAAGACACAUUCGUGGAAAUCUAGUCACUGCCAAAAGGAUAGGUGUAUUUAGGAUAUACAGUAAUUACUUCAAAUGUUGAAAAUGGCUGAAUGAACCAGGAGCAGACUUGACCAAAUUCACACUCUUUGUUCAGGAGAUGAAGAGGGUAUAAAAGUAUGUACAGCAGCUAGUUUUCAGUGUGUUUGAAAGUUGCCCAAAGUCACCGAUCUAAAGUGUGCAAAAAACUCGUUUGUCAAAAAAUCAGGAAAAAAAAGCCUUCCUUGGCAACAGUGCAUCAGAAGCCCAUCUGAAACAUCAAGACACGUUUGCUCGACACCUACCCCAAACAGAUGGAGAACAAAACUGUGAGCGUGUGCGCCAAGGGCUCAGCAGUUUUUUAUGGCAAGUCUCAGGCUCAAGCGGAUGCCAGUUAAACUAGUCACUCUAUAUGUAUAUAUAAAUAUAUGUAUAUGUAUUUAUAGAGCAGUUAGAAGUGGGGCCAGAGUUUACAGGAAGGUUCUGGCUAAGUUUCAUGGACUAGGCUUCCCCUCGAGGCCAAACUGGAACUCAGCACUCGCUGGGGGUACAUUUCCGGCUCCCAAACAGGAUCCUGGCCACUUAUUAACCUGGUUUCAAGGGUGGUCUUUUACCAAGAGACCAUCGGCCACAGGCCUGAGAAUGGGUCACCAGUCUGGCUACUUGACCUCCUGGGAAGAAAUAUCUAGGUUAUCCACUUCCUCGAACCAGAAACCGCAUUCCUAUCUCACCAGGAGAAAACCUCUAUGGUACUGAUGUUCCUUCCAGAUUCAGGGAGUUAUGGAAGCCAAGCCUCACCCACGACGCCAGCCUGUCUUCUACCGACCACCCAGCCCAGAGAGCAGCAGCCAAGCGGA